rnacentral:rRNA from 1 species
GACGAACGCUGGCGGCGUGCUUAACACAUGCAAGUCGAACGGAAAGGCCCUGCUGUUGUGGGGUGCUCGAGUGGCGAACGGGUGAGUAACACGUGAGUAACCUGCCCUUGACUUUGGGAUAACGUCAGGAAACUGGGGCUAAUACCGGAUAGGAGCUCCUGCGGCAUGGUGGGGGUUGGAAAGUUUCGGCGGUUGGGGAUGGACUCGCGGCUUAUCAGCUUGUUGGUGGGGUAGUGGCUUACCAAGGCUUUGACGGGUAGCCGGCCUGAGAGGGUGACCGGCCACAUUGGGACUGAGAGACGGCCCAGACUCCUACGGGAGGCGGCAGUGGGGAAUAUUGCACAGUGAGCGGAAGCCUGAUGCAGCAACGCCGCGUGCGGGAUGACGGCCUUCGGGUUGUAAACCGCUUUCGCCUGUGACGAAGCGUGAGUGACGGUAAUGGGUAAAGAAGCACCGGCUAACUACGUG